rnacentral:lncRNA from 1 species
GAGGACAGUGGUGCCCAGAAAGUUUGCUUACUUUGUUCAAGAACUUUUUAUUGAUAAAUAGAAGAAUUGAUAUUCCAGCUUAGGACUCUCCAGUUUCAAAUUAUGUAUUCUACCAGUCCUCGUCUGCUAAUUCAUGAAUGUGAAUUAGGCAGAUUACGCAACUGGUUCAGGUCACAAGGCUUCUCCAGGUCUUGUUUACUCUCUCUCCGUGGCGGCCCUAUCCUUCUCAAAUGCUACUUCACUCUUCUGGGGCAAUAAGAAACUCAGAGGGGCUAUCUAAAGGUCUCCUGUGAAGAUUCCUUAAAUAACUAAAAGUAGAACUACCAUUUCAUCCAGCAAUCCCACUACUGGAUAUCUAGCCAGAGGAAAAGAAGUCAUUAUAAGAAAAAAGAUACUUGCACACGUAUAUUUACAGCAGUACAAUUCGCAAUUGCAAAAACAUGGAACCAACCCAAAUGCCC